rnacentral:tRNA from 3 species
GGUCCUAUCGUCUAGAGGCCUAGGACGUGGCCCUCUCAAGGCUGAAACCCGGGUUCGAAUCCCGGUAGGACCGCCA